CUUUAGCUACCACUUUCGAGUGGAAGCAGGCUACUGCUGCGUAAUACCGCGAUAACGUACGCGUCGAAAGGGGGAUAUCCACGGUAAACUGUGGGUAAAACCAAUUUGGUCGACUGGAAGUAGGAAACUUAGGUCGACCGGAUCUUGGAGUCGAUGCAUCGGUCGCGGGCCUAUUAGGUAUAUCGCUGUGUCUUGGACAGCGAUGCCGUUGAUGGGUACGGGGGAUUAGGUUCCGAUUCCGCAGAGAGAGCUUGAGAAACGGCUCUCAUGGCCAAGGCUAGCAGCAGGUGCGAAAACUAUCCAAUGGCCGAAGGCCGAGAUGGUUAAUGAGCCUCCUGUUGAGCAAUUGCAAAGUAGGAAGAGCCGGGUUUAAAAGGUCCGGCGAAUACAAUCCGCGCUAAAUUCUGGUGCCAGCAGGCGCGGUAAUACCAGGGCGGCGAGCAUACCUAAGCGUUACUGCGUUUAAAGGUUCCUAGCUUGAUCUAGGCCGGCUGGAGGGGUGUUCUUAUUUGAGAUCCCGAAGGCCGGUCGUUGGGGGGCUGCGCUUUUAAUCUAAGUGCCUAAGAUGCUGUUGAUCCUCUAAUGUAUAUAUUUACAUUGGAGGAGUCAGAGGGUGCGCGCACAACCCCCCUUUAUGUAUUUUAUAUUCUAUAUUCAAUACAUAGUAUCAUGGAGAAGUUCGACGGCAGGAGUAUUGUUUGACGAGAGGUGGAAUUCACUGACUCAAACAGGACUACCAGUGGCGAAAGCGCCUGCCGAGGACUCGCUCGUCAGCCAAGGACCAAAGUUGGGGUAUCGAAAACGAUUAGACACCGUUGUAGUCCCAACCACAAACUUUGCUGACUGGCCUUGUGGCACCUCGCGGCUUCGGCUAGGAGGUGGUGCGGGGCCUAGGCGAAAGCAUAGUCUUCGAGUCACUUGGAGAGUAUGCCCGCAAGAGUGAAACUUAAAUGAGUUGGCGGAGUCCCAUACAUGAACUGGAGCUUGCGGUUUAAUUUGAUUCAACACGGGACAACUUACCAGGGCCUCGGCAAGUAUGAGUCGUUCCCAGUCCGCUGGGUGUGGUUGAAAUCCAACGACGAUUUUGCCUGGGGUUGUGCAUGGCCACCCGAGGCCGAUGGAUUGAUCUUUUGGUUAAUUCCGGUAAUCGGCGAGACCCGCGCUGUCAGUUUCGAGCCAAGAGGCGAGUCUGGCAGAACCGCGCUCGCAAGAGUGAGGUAGGACGGUCUAAGGUAGGUCCGUGAUGCAUUUUUAUGUCCUGGGCGACCCGCGCGCUACAAUGGUGUGUGAAGGCUGUGGGCUGACCUGAGAAGGGCGGCAAAUCAGCAAAGCACACCGUAGUGGGGAUUGUGGGCUGGAAAGGCCCACAUGAACGAGGAACUUCUCGUAAGCGCGUCUCAACAGAGCGCGCUGAAUAGGUCCCGGGGACUUGUUCACACUGUCCGUCAUACACAUCA
rnacentral:rRNA from 1 species